AGUGAACGCUGGCGGUAGGCCUAACACAUGCAAGUCGAACGGCAGCACAGUAAGAGCUUGCUCUUACGGGUGGCGAGUGGCGGACGGGUGAGGAAUACAUCCGAAUCUACUUUUUCGUGGGGGAUAACGUAGGGAAACUUACGCUAAUACCGCAUACGACCUACGGGUGAAAGCAGUGGAUCUUCUGACCUUGCGCGAUUGAAUGAGCCGAUGUCGGAUUAGCUAGUUGGCGGGGUAAAGGCCCACCAAGGCGACGAUCCGUAGCUGGUCUGAGAGGAUGAUCAGCCACACUAGAAGUGGGACACGGUCCAGACUCCUAAGAGAGGCAGCAGUGGGGAAUAUUGGACAAUGGGGGCAAGCCUGAUACAGCCAUACCGCGUGGGUGAAGAAGGCCUUCCGGUUGUAAAGCCCUUUUGUUGGGAAAGAAAAGCAGCAGGUUAAUACCCCGCUGUUCUGACGGUACCCAAAGAAUAAGCACCGGCUAACUUCGUG
rnacentral:rRNA from 1 species